GUGUCCCUUUGCAUUGUGCUCCUGAAUGAAUGCCCUCGUGAGCGUAGCGAGCCUCGGGUCUCUAUUUGUGUUGCACCCAAUUGACUGGCGGGGAGGCGGGCUGGGGGGCACCUCCGCCAGGUCGUGGCGGUCUCGAAGCGGCGGCCGGGUUUCGUGAAGGGCAAAAUGGCGGCGGCGGGCGGCGCCGGCGCGCCUCUCCAUGAUGAGCACCUUUUCACAGACCUGUACUGAGCUCCGUGAGGAAAAGAAACUCUGAGGAGUCGGGCCUUGCGCAGCCGCCCGCAGGCGUGUUCACGGGAAGCCCCGGCUGCGAAAUAAUCCUCGAUGACCUCGUGUUCUCAUUGCAGGGCUCAGGCGGCGGACGCUGGAGAAUGGGGAAGACCCCUUUGGUCGGAGUGAGUGUUCGUGGCCGCCUUUGUUCUCAAUGUGGCUAAGCUCCGAAGAGCAUGAACGUGGCAAGAAUGAUCCCUGUGAAGAUCAGCCUGACGUUGAUGCCCCAGCAACUCAGUCACCAGUCUGGAGGAGCUCACCCACAUCCUGACGUGAUCAAGAUGGUUGUGAUGAUGAUGUAUUCAUCUCUUGCAAGUGCCUGUUGAACUGCUCUCCAGGGUCUUAACUCCCAGAAAGAGUCUAGCAUGGACCACCUGAAAGACCCAAAGGACUGUAAUUAGAAGGUGCAAUUGCCAGGAACCUGCUUGUUUGCCCAAAGGUCCAGCACCUUGUCAGAGACCAGGAAUGAUUUCAGAAAAACUAAAAGCCACGUGUCUGCUCAACUCCAUACUGAAGUGUUGAGGUUUAAAGAAAAACAAGAGAAAGUGAGCUGCAGAGUGCCUGGAGGCAGACUGUUAGCUGACAUAAAGCUGUGGCCCCUUGUUCUGUGUGGAGUACCUGUGGUUUUCAUCCAGUGAGAAUCCAAUUCUUGAAGGACAUGAAGAAUUCUUGUGCACUUUAGCUGUUAAAAUCAGCCUGCAGGGCCUCCCCGGUGGCGCAGCGGUUGAGCGCUGGGUUGUGAAGCUCCCCGCAGCCUCUGCAGUGCCGGUUCAAUCCCCGGCUGCUCCCCGGCCACCGGAGGAGGAUCCCACAUGGUGCGCAGACCUCUCCUGCCGCCCGCUGCUCCCCUCAGCAGUGUCCUUCGGUCCUUCUGCCUGCUCUGCUCCCCGCUCUGGCUCUGGUGAAUUCUCUCACCCUCCCAGGCUUCUGACUGUACCCAGUGCUUGUAUGUAUGUAUAAAUAAAGAUGGAAUUUAAAAAAUAAAAUCAGCCUGCAAUCUUUUUAGCCUUUG